rnacentral:rRNA from 1 species
UACGUAGGGUGCGAGCGUUAAUGGGAAUUACUGGGCGUAAAGCGUGCGCAGGCGGCUUUGCAAGACAGAUGUGAAAUCCCCGGGCUCAACCUGGGAACUGCAUUUGUGACUGCAAGGCUAGAGUACGGCAGAGGGGGAUGGAAUUCCGCGUGUAGCAGUGAAAUGCGUAGAUAUGCGGAGGAACACCAAUGGCGAAGGCAAUCCCCUGGGCCUGUACUGACGCUCAUGCACGAAAGCGUGGGGAGCAAACAGG